AACCUGGAGGAUUAACAAACUCUGAUUUUUAAUUAAACCCGAGCGUCCCGAGAGCUUUCUGAGGGCGAGUGAGGUUUGCAGCCACCAUCAUGUCAGAGUCCGGACGAAGCGCAGACGACGCGAGGGUCGCCUUUCAGUCCUGCAAAAGUUCUGAUCCGAGAGACCGCGUUCAGUUUUACAGCUCCUGGGCCGACAACUACGAGAAGGAUCACACCCUGAUGAGCUACAGAGCACCACAUCUGGCCGUCAGCUGUCUGUCUGAGCACUUCACUGGGAAUCCUGAAAAAGCUCUGGUUCUGGAUGUCGCCUGCGGGACCGGAUG